UUCAGUUCAUCCAUUUGCGAUCAUGCACAUGCCAUGUUCUGCGUUUUUUUACCGAUUGUCUGCGUGUUUGCCUCUGUUAAUGUAGACUCAGUCCAGAGUCCUCAUUUCCUUUUCGCCUUCUCUUCCCAUCUCCAGGUACGCCAGUGGAUAGCUGACAGGGUCACGCCAAGUUCAUCUCCCGUGUCCCCUGGUCCUGACCCAUCCUCCUCCAGUGACUGGACCCCCAGCACCACUCCAAUCCCUCUCAGAGGCGCCCAUGGCAGGUUCCUCUCUCCUCCCACUACGGGCCCUGGGGGUUCCUCCCCGUCGGACCCGGUCACCCCCCAUCGCCCUCGAAUGGAGCGCCACGCCGACAUGGCCGAGCUGGCCAAACACGAAGCGGAGAUAGAGGGCAGGACCCUAGCACUGAAAAAGGAAGGAUUCUGGUCGAUGAAGCGACUGACCCGUUUGACGGAGCCAGUCCGAACCAAGGUGCACUGGGACUACCUGUGUGAGGAAAUGCAGUGGCUCUCGGCAGACUUUGCCCAGGAGAGAAGGUGGAAAAGAGGGGUCGCCAGGAAGGUGGUGCGGAUGGUGAUGCGUCACCACGAGGACCUGCGGCAGAAAGAGGAGAAGGCGAAGAGGGACGAGCACGCCAAAAUCAGACGGGUCGCCUCCAACAUUGCCAAGGAGGUGCGGGCCUUCUGGAGCAGCGUGGAGAAGGUGGUGCAGUACAAGCAGCAGUCCCGGCUGGAGGAGAAGCGGAAGAAGGCUCUGGACCUCCAGCUGGACUUCAUCGUGGGCCAGACGGAGAAAUACUCCGACCUCCUCAGCCAGGCCCUGGAAACGGCCCCGGCUGGGAUCAGUGAACCUGCGUCCUCACCGCACAGACGACAUCUUCCGCCUGCCGUGGAUGAGGAGGAUAGAGACUUUGAGCCUCCAUGUGGUGAGGAGGAGGAUGACGAGGAGACCAUCGAUGUGGAGGAGGCGCAGGAUGGCAAUGAUGCUGAGACCCAGAGGAGAGAGAUUGAGCUGCUAAGACAGGAGGGGACCAUGUCCCUGGCGGAGCUGCUGAGUACCCUCAAAAGGCCCCAGUCACAGGUGGAAGAUGAGGAAGAGUGCUCAGACAACUCGUCUACGACGGUGGACGAAGACGAGGAGUUCACAGCCAACGAAGAAGAUGCGGAAGACGAGGAGGACACCAUUGCAGCCCAGGAGAUCGUGGAGGGGGAGGCCAAUCACGCCGACGAGCUGGACGACUUGGCCAAGGAAGGUGACAUGAGUAUGGAGGAGCUGCUGGAGAAGUAUAAAGGAGCAUACGCCUCUGAUUUCGAGGAGCCCUCAACAUCCGCCUCCCCCGCUAGCUCGGACCAGUCUGAAAACUCUGGAGAAGAAGAUGAGGAGGAGGAGGAGAGCGAGGAAGAUGAAAGCAAUGAAGAUAGUGAAGAGGAAGAGGUCAGUGAAAACGAGGAGGACAGUAAUGAAGACGAGUGUGACGAGGGGAUGGAGAUCUUGCUGAAGGAGGGGGACCACAGCCCCCCACUACCAGCCGGCCAGCGACCCAAGAAGGAGAUCAGCCACAUUGCCGCCACGGCAGAGAGCCUGCAGCCCAAAGGCUACACCCUGGCCACAACCAAGGUCAAAACUCCCAUUCCGUUCCUGCUGGUGGGCCAGCUGCGGGAGUACCAGCACAUUGGCCUGGACUGGCUGGUCACCAUGUACGAGAAGAAGCUCAACGGCAUCCUGGCUGACGAGAUGGGCCUGGGGAAGACCAUCCAGACCAUCGCCUUGCUCGCUCACCUGGCCUGUGAAAAGGGUAACUGGGGGCCUCACCUGAUCAUCGUGCCGACCAGUGUGAUGCUGAACUGGGAGAUGGAGCUGAAGCGUUGGUGUCCUGGAUUCAAAAUCCUCACUUACUACGGCAGUCAGAAGGAGAGGAAACUGAAGAGACAGGGAUGGACGAAGCCCAAUGCCUUCCACGUGUGCAUCACCUCAUACAAGCUGGUGCUCCAGGACCACCAGGCCUUUCGACGCAAGUCCUGGCGGUACCUGAUCCUGGACGAGGCCCAGAACAUCAAGAACUUCAAGUCCCAGCGCUGGCAGAGCCUGCUGAACUUCAACAGCCAGAGGCGGUUGCUCCUGACGGGCACCCCUCUACAGAACAGCCUGAUGGAGCUGUGGUCCCUCAUGCACUUCCUCAUGCCCCACGUCUUCCAGUCCCACCGGGAGUUCAAGGAGUGGUUCUCCAACCCGCUCACCGGCAUGAUCGAGGGCAGCCAGGAGUACAACGAGGGCCUGGUCAAGAGGCUGCACAAGGUGCUCCGGCCGUUCCUUCUGAGGAGAAUCAAGGCGGACGUGGAGAAGCAGAUGCCUAAGAAGUACGAGCAUGUGGUCCGUUGCCGUCUGUCCAAGAGACAGCGUUUCCUCUACGAUGACUUCAUGGCACAGGCCUCCACUCGGGAAACGCUGGCCAGCGGUCACUUCAUGUCUGUGAUCAACAUCUUGAUGCAGCUCCGUAAAGUGUGUAACCACCCCAACCUGUUUGACCCGCGGCCAAUCCACUCCCCCUUCAUCACCAAGCCCAUCAUAUUCCACACAGCCUCCCUGGUGCAGCAAGCCCUGGAGAUCUCUCCAUUUAAGCGCUGUGACCUGUCCAUGUUUGACCUGCUGGGUCUAGAGGGCAGGGUUUCCCGCUACCAGGCCGACGUCUUUCUGCCCCGCCGGAAGGUCACCCGCCGGCUGAUCCAGGAGGUCAUGGAGUCCCCCGAGCCCCCGCCCCGCCCCAAACCCGUCCGCAUGAAGGUGAACAGGAUGUUCCAGCCACUACCGAAGGCGGACAGUCGCACCAUGCUGGUGGUGAACAACCCCCGGCCCACGUGUCCCGUCACCCCUGCUGCCCAAGCCCUGAGGCCCCCUUCCAUCCAGGAGGUCACCACGACCCCCACACCUUCAUCGCCGCCAGAGGCUACCGUGUGUUCGGUGGCCCCCACCGCCCCGCCGCGCCCGCCCACGCACCCCGGUGGCCCCUCGGUGGCGGGCACUGCCGCCCGGGCCGGCUCCCCGAUGCCGGUCGUGGCGGUGCGCCCGCCCACCUCCUCCGGCGCCCCCAGGCACCCCACCCCUCCUCCCAGCAACCUGAUGACCCAGAGAGUUCUGCUCAGCCCGGACAUGCAGGCCCGGCUUCCUUCCGGAGAGGUGGUGAGCAUCGCCCAGCUGGCGUCGCUGGCCGGUCGUCCCGUUUCGUCCUGCCAGGGCAGUAAGCCUGUCACCUUCCAGCUGCAGGGCAACAAACUCACCCUGUCUGGAACCCAGCUCCACCAGGUUCCUGUGGCCCCUGCGCGCCCGGUACAAGGUAAUGUCAUGCACCUGGUGACCAGCGGAGGGCAGCACCACCUCAUCAGCCAGCCAGCCCAGGUGGCGGUGUUCAGUUCAGCCAGCACCCACGCCGCCGCCUCCCCUGCGCCUUCGGGAAUCCAGCUGCCCGUUAACUCUGCGCAAGUGCCCUCAUCCAUGGUGACCGGCUCUGGAAUUGUGAAGAUCGUUGUGCGCCAGUCGAGCAAGGAAGGAGGGGGGGUUCCGACGCUGGCUGUGCCCCCUUCGCCCCGGCUCGCCCCACAGGCAUCACCCUCCACCCUCCACCACGCCAACCCCGCUUUGAGAACUCAUGCCCCCUUGCAGACAUCACAUCUCACAAUUAGGACCUCCACCCCAGCGCCCCCUCGUACCUCCACUCCGGCGCCGCCUCGAAUCCCUACACCUGCCCCUUCACGAACCCCGGCCCCGCCUCGAAUCCCUACGCCGGCCCCCCCUCGUACGUCUACGCCGGCCCCCCCUCGUACGUCUACGCCAGCCCCUCCACGUAUUCCUACCUCAGCCCCUGGUCAGUCUCCGAACCCUCAACCUGUCCAGAAGUCAUGGCUGGCAGAGAGCCGCAAGAAGCAGCGAGAUGGACGGCUGACUCAGAUCGUCCAGAUCAACGACCUCCACUGCAGCGCCAGUCCGGUGUAUGGCUACGAGGUGCUGGACUUCCUCACUUUCCUCCCAGGCCUCUGUCCCACUCCGGCCCGCCAGGCCCUGGGUCACUGGGGCAGCUCGGGCCACGCCGCCUGCCUGUUCGCCCAGUCCCGAAGCACCACUGACUACUGGGACCAGAGCAGCGCCCUGAGGGAGGCCAUCCACACCACAGAGGACAGGCUGCAGCUGCUCCAGGAUGUCAUAGAAAGGUUUACAUUUGUGAUCCCGCCGGUGGAGGCUCCGCCCAUCACCCUGCACACCUGUCACCCUCCCCCGUCUCUGAGCCACCAGCAGGCCAUGUUCACCUCGGGUCUCUCCGCCCUGGUGGCUCCGCUAACCCGCAGUCUGCACCGCAUCCAGUGCAACAUGAGGACCCACUUCCCCGACCUGAGGCUCAUCCAGUACGACUGCGGUAAGCUGCAGACCCUCCACACUCUGUUGCGGCGGCUGAAGGAGGGUCAACACAGGGUGCUCAUCUUCACCCAGAUGACCCGCAUGCUGGACGUGCUGGAGCAGUUCCUCAACUACCACGGACACAUCUACCUCCGCCUGGACGGCAGCACCCGCAUCGAGCAGAGACAGUCCUUGAUGGAUCGUUUCAACGCCGAUCGACGAAUCUUCUGCUUCAUCCUGUCCACGCGUAGCGGAGGCGUGGGCGUGAACCUGACGGGCGCCGACACGGUGGUGUUCUACGACAGUGACUGGAACCCGACCAUGGACGCCCAGGCCCAGGAUCGCUGCCACCGCAUCGGACAGACCCGCGACGUUCACAUCUACAGGUUGAUCAGUGAGCGCACGGUUGAGGAAAACAUUCUGAAGAAGGCCAACCAGAAGAGGAUGCUGGGAGACAUGGCCAUUGAAGGAGGCAACUUCACCACUGCCUUCUUCAAACAGCAAACCAUCAGGGAGCUAUUUGACGUGACGGAGGGGGAGAAGAAGGAGGCCGUGGUGGAGCUCACCGUACCCCAGCCUGAAGAAGAAGAGGCAGUCAAUAAACAGAGCACCACCAUCCUGGAGCAGGCCCUGUGUCGCGCAGAGGACGAGGAGGACAUAGUCGCGGCCUCCCAAGCCAAAGCGGAGCAGGUAGCUGAGCUGGCCGAGUUCAACGAGGCCAUCCCGUUGGAUGAAGCCGGUGAAGGGAGGGACCCGGAAGAGGAGGAGCUUUCCAAGGCUGAGCAGGAGAUAGCAGCUCUGGUGGAGCAGCUUACUCCUAUAGAGCGCUAUGCUAUGAACUUCCUGGAGGCCUCGCUGGAAGAUGUGUGCAAGGAGGAAUUGAAGCAAGCAGAGGAGCAGGUGGAGGCAGCCAGGAAGGGGCUGGACCAGGCCAAGGAGGAGGGCCUGAAGCUGCAUGAGCCCUCGGUCCCCGGGUCAGGCCGGCGCCCACGGAAACACAGAGAGAAAGGCGCUCCCUCCACCAGGACCAGUGGCAGGCUCAGGGGGACCAUGGCCACCUCUCCAGAGCCGGAGCCAGACAGAGAAGUGCCCGACAGACUCCGUCCGGCUCCAAGGGCACGAGGGGGGACCAAAGACACCACCACCACUCCAUCCCGCACGGAGCAUCUCAGGCCACACGCCAAAACUGCAGAGACAUCUCCUGCCUCUCCUUCUAGAGACUUGGCAGUGCUGCCUCACCGCAACAAGGCCCACUCCAGCUCAGUGCCUUCCACUGCCACCAGUCCUCCAACUGGGAAACCGGAGAUGUCCACAUGUCCUGUGGACCACCAGUCAUACUCUGCCCAGGCCAGGGAUGAUGACAGCAGAGACCAGGAGUCCCUGUUGCCCCCCUCUGUGUGCUCCCGGUCGCCGCGCAAGCGCCAGUCUGCCGAUGGUGAGGUCCUGCUGGGCCUUCCGGAACAUUCCCCGUCGGCCAAGGUCCUGCGGAAGCUCCCUGGUCGCCUGGUUACGGUGGUGGAGGAAAAGGAGCCCAGGAAGAGGAGGAGAAGAGGCAGCGGAACGGGAGGAGGCUCAUCCGAGGAGAUGGAGCAUGCAGAGUCGGGCCGAGACUCUACACCCCUGACCCCUGACAAAACCAAUCAGAUCCCCAGAGGGCCCACAUUAAAAUAUUUCUCAAUGACCACCAAACUUGCAGAGGACCAAGAAUUCCCCUCAACACACUCUGUUCCACCGAGAGGCUUCCCCCCUUACUCCCCGCCACACCACUCCCCUGACAUGCCGGUACUGAGGAACCUGCCAGUGCGACAACGUCUGGAGAGUGAGUCUCGUGUGGCGGCCCAAUUAGGGGAGCAGGGGCUGGGUCGAGGCAGGGGAGGGAACUACCACCGGAAAAUGGAAGUUCAGCCCGGAAAAGACUGCAACGUUUCCCCAGGCACUAAUGUCACUAACUCAACCCCGCCGGUGAAGCGCAAGAGGGGCCGACCACCCAAGACUCCCCCGAGGGUGGCGGAACCGCAGCCAGAUCACGUAUCCCAUCCCCAGCCCAACUCACCGUGUUGGAAGGUGAGUCCCCCACUCUCCCCAAAACGCAAGAGGGGUCGUCCUCGCAAGGACUCAACUGUAACAGAGGCUGCAAAUGCAGCGCAGAAGUUGAACCCCACCAGUAAUGCCAGUCAAGCUGCUUCCCUGAGGUCAAACCCUACCACCGCUGGCACCAAUGUCAUCACCCCCACUCCAGACCAAAUACUCGUUAAACCAUCCGCUUCUCUGCUAACUGUCACAGCCCACGUACCAUUACUUACUAGCUCCAACACAACCUCGACUGCAAGUCUUCCCACCCCAGCUUCAACCAGGCUCGUCAAUAACCUGACUCUGGCCCCGACCACAGUUGUCACAGGAGCUCCUGCUAAAACCUCAAUACCAACUUCUACCAAAAUCACAUGUCCCUCACCAAACACAACUACCCCAACAACAACUACACCAGCACCCAUGCCAAUUACCAAAACAGCAGCUACACUAGCACCUACACCAACUGUAACAAACCAACCAGUACCAACAAAAACCAGUACACCACCCGCUACACCAGCACUUACACCAGUUAUCACAAAUGCUACACCCGCCCUAACCACAACCAUCAAUCCAACAGCUACUCUGGCCCCUACACAAACUACCACCACAACUGCUGUUCCAAAUCUCAGCACAAUUCCAGAAGCUUGUCUGACCACAACUGUCACCCCGGUUAGUGCAGUCGUUACCACAACCAUUACACCAACUCCACCCCCAGUCUCUACCACAACCAUUACACCAACUCCACCCCCAGUCUCCACUACAACCGUCAAACCAUCUCCUACCCCAGUCUCCACUACAACCGUCAAACCAUCUCCUACCCCAAUCUCCACCACAACCGUCACACCAUCUCCAACCUCACUUUCCACCACAAGCAUUAGACCAUCUCCUACUCCAAUCCCAACCAGAACCAUCACCACUUCCCAAGUAUCAAACUCUACCAAAAUCCAAAUCCAGAUAUCCACCCCAGCUUCAAUACAAGUGCUGCCCAUGGCCCAAAUUCCUUUGAUAUCCACACUCUCCAGCAACUCUACUGCUAACAAAGACUCUGGGAAUAGAGCAGAUCUGGAGAGCCAGGAAGCUAAAGAGGACAAAAAGACCAAGGAGGCUGUAGAAGAGAUGAGUGACUCUCAGCCGAAAAAGAGGAAAGCGGAUAAUUCUCCUGAAGCCAAAGACACUAGCCCUCCCUCUCCAAUACUGGCUGACUCUGAGGCCCCAGUGGCUCCUCUGCCAGAGGAAGCGGAUGUACAGAAGGUAGAGGAGCGUGCCGGAGAUGACAUCGCCACCAGCAAGAAGAGACCCCUCAGCCGCCAGAGCAGUCAGGAGUCGGUGCGCUCAACCUCUCCCUCCUCGGUGUGCUCCACAUCCACUCCCACCCACUCAUCCCAGCAGAAGAAGAGUGCAGGAAAGAGGGCCCCGGCCAAGAGGAGACGAGGGGAGGAGCUCCCUGACCAAGAGAAGGGAAAGAGGAUGACUGAGAAAGAGUCCACCAAUUCCACCCUGAGGACUCCGUCAAGGUCCUCCUCUUCAGACUCUGACACCUCCAAGCCCUGGAAGGAUCGGCGCUUCACCCGCUCGGCCCAGAGCCGACCAGAGAAAGAGGGGAAUGGAGAGAGCAAUGGGCGGAGGAGAAGAUCCGCCAGGAGCUCGAAACAGGAAAGCAGGGCUGUGUCCAACAACACUGGUACUGGCGAGUCUGGCAGUGAGACAUCGUCCAUAAGGGUCACCCGGAAAUCUUCUGUUCUUCAGCCCAACUCGGACGGCAAACCACAGACCAACAGCGUGCCCUCCACCCCUCCCCAGCCAGAGGUCCUGGGGAAGAGGUGUUCAGCCCUGAAUGCUGCAGCCAAACUCCUUGCGAUGCGAGGUAGGGUUGACACCCCCGGUAGCAGGAAGGACCCUGCUGCUAAGACUGGCGGGCAUAAUUCGACUCCCACUUCCUCUGACAAGAGGUCCAAGCCGAAAAGUGCCCCGGCCACUCCCCAAGCCCACUGCAACAGCAAAGCGGGAAGCAGCAAGCUGACCGCCCCCGUCCAGUCAAGCCGCAAUGCUGCGCGCUCCACCCGCCAGUGUCCCGGCGCUCUUGUCCCGCCGCUGGAAACGGACAGCAAGAGGGGGGUCAAGAAGGAGGAGAAGUACAAAGACAAGAAAACCUUGGAAGGAAAGGAAGAGGCGGGCGAAAGGGACACACGAUCGUCCAGGGGCCACAGCGCCUGCAGCAGCGGGAGUAGCGAUGGCGGAGGCAGUAGCCGGAGCAGCAGUACCAGCGGCAGCCAGCGCACCCACAGCCUCAGCUCCCAGAGCACAGGGCCCCGACGCAACCGCUCACUAGCGCCCUCCUCUGGCAGCGAGGGGGAACGCAGUACGGAGAGGGGAAGGAGGCGCAGCCAUAGGAAGGAAGGAGAGGGCCGGGGGAGGGAGACCCGGAAGGAGAGGAAGGAGAGGCAUGCCCAGAAGCGGGAAAGGCUCUCCCAGGAGGGGAACGCUGGCUCGGGGGAGGGCACGCCGGACCGGGUGCUGCGCAGCGUGGCAGCCAUGGCGGCGGCUCAGGCCCGCACACCGGCCGCCAACACCCGCUCCUCCCGUUCCUCCUCUGCACAACACAACAAGACAUGA
ensembl:lncRNA